UCCGCUUUAUUCAUCCAGCCAACAAACACCUGUGACAUAGCUCCUCUUUUUGGGACACUCCCUUUUUGAAUUCUGUUGUUCCUCAUACAUCACACCACCUGCUAACCACAGUUAACAUUUCCUACCAGCCACAGAGGCCUAUCAGUGCUCUCUGCCAAGGACCACACAAGGGCAUUCGGGCUUUGCUUCCUAUGAAUCAACUCUGAGGGCUGGCCUCUGGGAAUACCCCCACCUAGCUCCCGCGCCCAACAAUGGGGACCUAGAGGGUGCACUCUGAUGCAAAAGAGGGGGUAUGCUAGUCUGUGAGCCUGAGGCUGGGCCCCAACUAUUUAGCGGUGGCUGAGUGAACCCAAAGGGCUUUGGCCCACCACACACGCCUGGAGGGCCCAACCCAGAGUAGCCCCUCUGCAGGUAAUGGAGGCCCUGUAACGGCAGUGUGGCCAAGGAGGGCAGGGCAGGGGCC
rnacentral:lncRNA from 1 species